rnacentral:rRNA from 1 species
GACGUAGGGCGCGAGCGUUGUCCGGAUUUAUUGGGCGUAAAGAGCUCGUAGGCGGCUUGUCGCGUCGACCGUGAAAACUUGGGGCUCAACCCCAAGCCUGCGGUCGAUACGGGCAGGCUCGAGUUCGGUAGGGGAGACUGGAAUUCCUGGUGUAGCGGUGAAAUGCGCAGAUAUCAGGAGGAACACCGGUGGCGAAGGCGGGUCUCUGGGACGGUACUGACGCUGAGACGCGAAAGCGUGGGGAGCGAACAGG